UUAAUAGGUUUGAGUUUUUGUAUCUGCUUUGAUCAUAAUUAACCCUUCAAUUAUUGAUUAA
rnacentral:sRNA from 1 species